CCUACGGGGGGCAGCAGUAGGGAAUCUUCCACAAUGGGCGAAAGCCUGAUGGAGCAACGCCGCGUGGGUGAAGAAGGUCUUCGGAUCGUAAAACCCUGUUGUUAGAGAAGAAAGUGCGUGAGAGUAACUGUUCACGUUUCGACGGUAUCUAAACAGAACGCCAAGGCUAACUCCGUGCCAGCAGCCGCGGUAAUACGUAGGUGGCGAGCGUUAUCCGGAGUUAUUGGGCGUAAGGGGAACGCAGGCGGUCUGUUAAGUCUGAUGUGAAAGCCUUCGGCUUAACCGGAGUAGUGCAUUGGAAACUGGGAGACUUGAGUGCAGAAGAGGAGAGUGGAAUGCCAGGUGUAGCGGUGAAAUGCGUAGAUAUCUGGAAGAACACCAGUGGCGAAGGCGGCUCUCUGGUCUGUAACUGACGCUGAGGUUCGAAAGCGUGGGUAGCAAACAGGAUUAGAUACCCCAGUAGUC
rnacentral:rRNA from 1 species